ACGAACGCUGGCGGCGUGCUUAACCCCUGCAAGUCGAACGGUGAAGCGCCUUCCUUUUUGGUGGGUGUGGAUGAGUGGCGAACGGGUGAGUAACACGUGAGUAACCUGCCCCCUUCUUCUGGAUAACCGCAUGAAAGUGUGGCUAAUACGGGAUAUUCUGGGUCUGUCGCAUGAUGGGUCUGGGAAAGAUAUUGUUUCGGUGGGGGAUGGGCUCGCGGCCUAUCAGCUUGUUGGUGGGGUGAUGGCCUACCAAGGCGGUGACGGGUAGCCGGCCUGAGAGGGUGGACGGUCACACUGGGACGGAGACACGGCCCAGACUCCUACGGGAGGCAGCAGUGGGGAAUAUUGCACAAUGGGCGCAAGCCUGAUGCAGCGACGCCGCGUGAGGGAUGGAGGCCUUCGGGUUGUGAACCUCUUUCGCCAGUGAAGCAGGCCUGCCUCGUUUGUGGGUGGGUUGACGGUAGCUGGAUAAGAAGCGCCGGCUAACUACGUG
rnacentral:rRNA from 1 species